rnacentral:lncRNA from 1 species
GGGAGACGCAUGAGUGGAGGAACAAACCCUAUAACCUAGAUCGUAAGUGAAGAGGAAGUUCAUAACUUUGAGGCUUAUUAUGGAUACUGUGUUGGUUUCUACAACUGGGUUUGGGCUUUCACCUAUUAUGAAUCUGAAUAUUAUCUCGUAUAUUGAGUAGUAAAGAAAAGUACAAUUUGUAACUAUACAAAUUUAGGCCUCAUAACGACCUAUUGCUGACUCAUCUCGUCAAGCAAAGUUUUUUUUUAACGUUGAUUUAUUAUGGUAUUACAAUUAUGAGAAAUAUUACAUAAACGAUCCGACAACCGACAAUACUACCUGCCUUAUAAGGAUCUACACCUAACUGCAUCACAUGAGCCGUCCUACGAAGAUCACGCCUGACCGAGUUUACUUGCACCAUGUUGAAGAUCCCUUGUAAGCAUUUCCUCUGUAGCAUGCAUCAUUGUUUGAUAAAUCACUUUCUCCGGGAAUUGAAACAUGGACAUGCUGGUGUAGAAACAUUAAUGAACCUUUAGUCAAACCACUAGACUAAGGGGGAUUCCACAUCGUCAAGCAAAGUUUACAAUUACAAUCUGCAUAAACUCAAAUGUAAAUGACUCUCUACUACUUAUAGACUCAGCUUUCCUUCUUUCUAUUCGUCUACGUCAUCCUCAUUAGUCUAACUCCUCCAUCUUAACUUCCAACGUCUUCUACUCAUCCGCAAUCUUCUUAUUCUGCUUCCUGAAGUAGACCCUUAAAGGUCUAUCAAUACCCCCCGAACAAAGAAUCAACUUGUCCUGAAGCUUAGCAUCUGGAAACGAUCGAAUAGCUUCACACAUCUUUACCCACGAAGUUUCAUGAGAUGGUAAGCCGGACCAUUGAAUCAACACUUCCAGAUUGCCCUCUGCAUCAUAACACGAAUCCACAAUCUUCUCUGGCGCUAUGAUGAAUUCAUCCUCAAUCAUCAAUACUUCAGGAAGAGGAGUAACGUCAUGAUAUUUCCCAACACUUGCUUCAGUUGAGACACGUGGAAAACCACAUGGAUCUUAGAUGUAGGAGGUAACUCCAAACGAUAAGCAACAGUUCCAAUCUUUUCAAUGAUCUUGAAAGGCCCAUAAUAACGAGCUGACAACUUCUUACACAACCGCUUCGUUACUGAGUUUUGACGAUAAGGCCGUAACUUCAAGAACACCAAAUCACCCACUUCAAACUGCAAAUCUCAUCUCAACUUGUCAGCAUUAUUCUUCAUAAGCUGUUGAGCCUGAACCAAAUGAUCUUUGAUGUCCUUAAGCGUCACAUCCCUCUCAUGUAACGACUGUUCCAGUUCAAAAUUACCCGUUGAACCGUGCUCGUAAGCAAGCAAGUUUGGAGGGUCACGAACGUACAUUAAUUUGAAAGGAGUACACUUCAGAGCAGUAUGAAAACUCGUGUUAUACGAGUAUUCCACCCAAGCCAAAAACGCAUACCACUUCUUAGGAUGAGCAGAAGUGAAGCAACACAAGUAAGUUUCAAACAUCUAUUCCACACCUCUGUCUGCCCGUCGGUUUGCGGGUGGUACGCAGUGCUGUACUUCAAGCUUGUACCCGCUAGGCGAAAAUAUUCAUGCCAGAAAAAGCUGAGAAAGACAUGAUGUCUAUCUGAGACGAUAGAACGUGGAAAGCCAUGAAGUUUCACAAUCACGAAUGAACAACAUAGCUACAUCAGUCGUGGUAAAAGGAUGACGCAAAGUCAAGAAAUGAGCAUACUUGCUUAAUCUGUCAACCACCACCAGUAUGACAUUCUUCCCACUCGAAAUUGGUAAUCCUUCCACGAAGUCUAAAGAGAUGUCUUCCCAAACUUGAUCAGGUAUUGGCAAUGGUUGUAGUAACCCAGCAGGAUGCAAGGUACUAUACUUGUGUGUCUGACACACCACACAUUCAAACACAAAUUUAUGCAUAUCUUUAGCCAUAUUAAACCAAUAAAAACGACUAGUGAAUACGCUUCUUUGUUCUCAAAAUACCACUGUGACCUCCCACCAAACUCAUGUGAAAUUCUCGCAGAAUUAAAGGAAUGAAAGAUGACUGACUGGAGAUUACCAAACGAUCCUUAUAAUGAAGUCUGUCAUGUUUGAUGCUCAUUCCAGCUUUCACUGCUUCACCCUUUACAAUUCUCUGCUUAAUGUUAUUAGUCUGAUUUUCCUGAUUAAUCUCCUUUAGCAGUUCUUGCAACUGGAGAGAUACAAGAACAAAGUCUGAUAAACCGAAACUGCAGACAGAUCAAUACGAGAUAAUUCGUCUGCUGCAGCAUUAUCAUACUUGGCUUGUACACUAUAUCGAAGUCAUACCCCAAUAGUUUUGUUAACCAACUCUGAUAAUCUAUAGAUACCUCCCGCUGCUCCAAGAGGUAUUUAAGACUCUUCUGAUCAGUACGCACCAAAAAACGUCUCCCCAUAAGAUAAUGUUUCCACUUGAGUAUAGCCAAUACAAUAGUCAUGAGCUCUCUUUCAUAAGCUGGUUUGAGUUGUUCCCAAGUAGUUAAGCCAUGACUAAAGUGUGCGAUUGGUUUGUUAUUCUGCAUCAGGACAGCCCCCAAUCCAAAGCCUGAUGCAUCAGAUUCCACCACAAAAAGCUCGUUGAAAUCUGGUAGUGCCAACACUGGUGAUGUCGUCUUUGCAUGUUUCAGAGUUUCAAAUGCAGACUGUGCCCUUGACGACCACGCAAAAAGUUCCUUCUUCAACAUCUUUGUGAGUGGUCGAGCAAUAGUCCCAUAAUCAUUUACGAACCUUCGAUAAUAUCCCGUAAGUCCAAGGAAGCCUCACAACCCAUUAGUAGACUUAGGAAAAGGCAACUGCUUAACGGUAGUAGUUUUAGCGGGAUCAGUAGACACGCCUUCUGCUGAUAUAAUAUGGCCAAGAUAUUCCACCGUAGGUUGACCAAAGGAGCAUUUUUUCUAUUAGUAAAUAGCUUUUGUUUGUGAAACACGUCCAAGACGAGUUGUAGAUGCUUCAGGUGUUCUGACAUCGAAGUACUAUAGAUCAAUAUGUUGUCAAAAAACACCAAUACAAAGCGUCUGAGGAACAGCCGAAAGAUGUCAUUCAUCAAUGACUGAAACGUUGCAGGAGCGUUCAUUAAUCCAAAUGGCAUCACUAAAAAUUCGUAGUGACCAUCCACGGUACGAAAUGCAGUCUUCUCUACAUCUGCUUCGCAUAUUCUUAUUUGAUGAUAGCCAGACCGAAAGUAUAACGUUGAGAAUACUGAAGCUUCGUGCAAUUUGUCUAAUAACUGAUCGAUAAGAGGAACAAGAAACUUGUCGGAAAUGGUAGUUCUGUUCAGUGCACGAUAGUCCACGCAUAAUCGAAAUGACUUGUCCUUCUUCUUCACCAAUAAGACAUGACUCGAAAAUGAACUUUGGCUUGGUCUGAUAAUACCAGAGUCUAGCAUUUCCUUGACCAUCCUCUCCAUCACUUCUUUUUUUAGAAUGAGGAUACCUAUAGGGCUGAACACUUACCAGACCACACCCCGGUAGUAACACGAUAGAGUGUUCAUGUCCUCGAGCAGGAGGCAAAACCUUUGGUAUGUCAAAGACGUGCUCAUUCAACUGGAGCACCCCCUUUAUCUCAAUUGGUACUUCUGCAUCACCAAUUAACUUCUCUUAUGUUUUAACCUCGAUCUUCUUGCCUUUCACAGUAGUAGAAGACUGUUGUAAAGUCUUAAUUGACAGUUUGUUGUUGUGUAACUCUGGAUCACCUUUAAUGGUUACCCACAAAUCCUUGUACCAGAAAGAUAAUUAUUGCUCCUCCCAAUCCACUAGACAUUUACCAAGUGUUCUCAACCAUUGAACCCCCAAAAUGAUGUCGAGUGUGCCCAACUCCAAGGCGAUAGAUCCGACGUAAAAGCGAGAUCAUCAAUCGUAAAAGAAACUGUUGGACACACACCAAUUCCCUGCACUGAUACACCAGUCCCCAACGCAAUGUUCAAAUUCGGCAAGGCUCUCGGAGUAAUGUGCAAAGCCGCUAAUAUCGAUGGUGAAAUGAAAUUAUGCGUUGCGCCACUGUCCAGUAAAAUUACCACUUCAGUCUUGUUAAUAAUGCCUCUAACUCUCGUUGAUGUUGGUUUUGAAAUCCUCAUGAAAGCGUUGAAAAACAAAGCCAUACAUUCUGAUGUUGAAGCUUGUUCCACCUCAGCUACCUGCUUCCAACAAUUCAACCAUAUUCUCUUCUAUUACCUCCAUUGUCAACCCAUUUAUCACUGUCAUAAUCUGUAACUCUGCGCUUGAACAUGGAUGUCCCUUGUAAUAUUUCCCUUUACAUUUGAAACACACGCCAUCACGUCUCAUCUGAUCAAGCUCCGCAUCAGUAUGGUACUGUCGAGGACGCACAAAAGGUUUGUCCUGCUUCGUUUUGUUCUGCCCACUGUCUUAUUGCUUGAGAGAUCCAGCCUUAUGUAGAACUGUAAUAGUACGCUUCCCAAACGCCGCAGACGUAUAUGAUGAGCCAGGUUGUCUGCUACUUGUCUGCUUAUCUGCACUCAUAACCUUGCAAAACACAGUUGUUUGCAUCUUCAUAACCGCAGUGAUAUGAUUUGUCAAACCCUGUGGUUCCUUCAUACUUAUAACUUCCUUCAUCUCUGGCUUCAAUCCAUUGUAAAACACCUUUAUCAGAUUCUUCUCAUCAAUUCCCGUCACUUGUAGCUUCAACUCUUCAAAUGCAUUAACAUAAUCCGCAAUAUCUACUGUAUGAUGUAGACUAAACAGCCGAGCUUCUGGAUCUUCAUCCAUAGAUCUCGAAAAUCUAUCCAACAACCGUUCUGCAAAUUGUUUCCGACUGCUAAACAGAUUAUCCUUCAUCUCUCCAUUGAACUAGUUGAGCACGGGACCUUCCAAAGUCAGAGAUACCAGAUCCAACUUCUCAGUCUCAUCGUAACGUCCACUACGAAAGAAUCUCUCCACUCUGCAUAUCCAAUCAAAAGACAAUUUCCCAGAGAACACAUGCAUAUCCACUUUCUUUAACAUUGAUUCACGAUUCGCUAGAAAUGCACUAAUUUCCCGAUAACCUAACGGAUUUUGAGGUAACUCCGGUUCAGAUCGAAAAACGGUACCUGAUGUGGUAAAUCUGUAUCAUCGGCGAUCUCUUUUCCACUGCGCUUUGCUGAAAAAGCACAAUUCUCGAUAUGUGCUAACGUACCGCUGAUCUCUUCCAUACGAUGAUCUAACUUUUUCUCCAGAGCUUCGAUCUUCCGAUAUGAUUCAACUCCUCAGAUGUAUAGCUUCUUCUCCAAGGAUUUGAACCGAUCGGGCGAUUCGCUAUCUGUCUCCGCCAAUUUCUCACAUCUGAUCUUCAAGUACUUGAUCUCGGUCCGUAACUGCCUCAACGAAGCAUCAUCCUCGCUGCCUUGACUCUUUGAUGUUGCCAUGUAAGUCAAUUUGAGCUUCGCGUGAUGAUUUUCUCCUCGAUCCAGUAUCACAAUCGCACCAAUUUGUUAUGAAUCUGAAUAUUAUCUCGUAUAUUGAGUAGUAAAGAAGAGUACAAUUUGUAACUAUACAACUUUAGGUCUCAUAACGACCUAUUGCUGACUCAUCUCGUCAAGCAAAGUUUACCACUGCAUAAACUCAAAUGUAAAUGACUAUCUACUACUUAUAGACUCAGCUUCCCUUCCUUCUAUUGGUCCACGUCAUCCUCAUUAGUCUAACUCCUCCAUCUUAACUUCCAACGU